rnacentral:lncRNA from 1 species
UCCUCCGCGGAAGUCGCCACCUCCGUGGUGGAAACGGUGGCUGCCACCAUCGCUACGGCGGCGGAGGAAGGGGUGGAGAUUGCGGAAUCCUCUACCUUCACUGUAAAAAAAGAGAAUAUUUACAUCAAAUCAAACAGAAACACAGUAAAUAAUUCAAAAUCUAAUGAACGACUAGCAUUAUUGUAACAAAGUGGACGUACAAAACUUUAUAUAAGAAUUUGAAUUCGAAGCUUUCUCCAUUCUAUUUUCAAAUUUUU